rnacentral:rRNA from 1 species
AGCGAACGCUGGCGGCAGGCCUAACACAUGCAAGUCGAACGAACCCUUCGGGGUUAGUGGCGGACGGGUGAGUAACACGUGGGAACGUGCCUUUAGGUUCGGAAUAACUCAGGGAAACUUGUGCUAAUACCGAAUGUGCCCUUCGGGGGAAAGAUUUAUCGCCUUUAGAGCGGCCCGCGUCUGAUUAGCUAGUUGGUGAGGUAAUGGCUCACCAAGGCUACGAUCAGUAGCUGGUCUGAGAGGAUGACCAGCCACAUUGGGACUGAGACACGGCCCAAACUCAUACGGGAGGCAGCAGUGGGGAACCUUGCGCAAUGGGCAAAAGCCUGACGCAGCCAUGCCGCGUGGAUGAUGAAGGUCUUAGGAUUGUAAAAUCCUUUCACCGGUGAAGAUAAUGACUGUAGCCGGAGAAGAAGCCCCGGCUAACUUCGUGCCAGCAGCCGCGGUAAGAC